rnacentral:tRNA from 1 species
GUGGGUGUCGUCCAGCGGUCAGGACCCCGGCCUGUGAAGCCAGUGACACAGGUUCGAAUCCUCUCACUCACCCCA